AGAUACAGAAUCUCACUAUGUUGCCCAGGCUGGUCUUGAACUCCUGGCUUGAACAGUCGUCAUGCUGCCUCAGCCCUCACCCUCCUGGAUAGCUGGGACUGCAGGCACGCACCACCGUGCCAGCCAAGACUUGCUUUUAAGCCUUGUCAGGAGGGACCACAGGAGACUUUAGAGUAAGCUGAAUUGGGCUGCAUUACUGAGACAAUACUCAGAGUGUUCUACUCAGUGCCCGAUGAAUUAGAAGGUUUUCAACUGUGGUUGGUGGCCACAGGGGCUAUUCUCUGGCUGGUGGGAGCUCUAGGAAUGGUUCCCUCUAAUCUUUUUGGGUGAUUCUUUUUCUGGCCUCAUUUCUUUUCCUCACAUGCAUGUGCUGAUCAAUACUUUGCUGAAGACCCAAAGAUGACACUCUGCAGAGCCCAGAGUUCUCUCCGUGUGCAGCUUUCUUCUCUCCAGUAUUCUCUCCUUGAAGAAACUGAGAUAGGAGAAGGGAUGGUGCCUGAGUCUGCGGCAGACCCUGAACUGGGCCACAUCUCCCAACUUGAGAUUGAAGUCGCUUUGAAAGCAGAGCACAUGAAUCCGGGCAACGUGACUUAAGAGCUGGCUGAUGUUCCAGGACAGCACAAAAGAACGGAACUUGUUUUCAUGCUAUGAGUGCGCAAACCAAUGGGCAGUUUUUGGGGUUACUCGUGAUUGCUCCUCGGUCCAGAGUUCAGGCAGCAAUCUGAGCCACUCAACUGCUCUUCUUUACCCCUCUACCUCUGCAGUUCAUUGGGGGACAGAGCUGGGCCAGGAUCCUGGGACAGAAGGAGGAGGCGGGCCCAGGAAAGUCCACUUGGGGUAACACACAAUUUGUACAUAAAAAAGAAAUGUUCACCUCUUUGUAUGUACCGUAGUAAUUAUUUCACCUUCUUUUAUGAACUUGCACAUUUUCAGAGAGAGUUAAAUUAAGCAGAGUCUGAAAGUGGAGAAUUCUCACAUAGAUAAAAGAAUGGGGACCUGAAAUUGGGUCAUCAGGAAGUGUCUUGUGGCAAAAUACACUUAGUAUCGAACUGAAGGAAGAAAUAUUUCAAACAUUUUCUUUAAGGAAAACUUAAUGGAUGUGACUUAAUAUUGUCUAGACUGACCUAGCAGCACAAGGUGGUGCGUUCAAGGACUUUUCAUCUCAAUCCACAGGAAAAGGGUUCGAUUUAGAUGAGAAAGAGGGAGCGGGGCACAGCUAGACUGGAGAGGCAUCCUGUCCACGGAUUAGUCUUCACUCUUCAUGUGGGCAGUAGAAUGGUAAACGGGACCUUCUUAAAACAGCAGCUCCCAAACACUGGGAG
rnacentral:lncRNA from 1 species